GAAAGAGACCCUUGCGAGGGGAAGCUGUGAACCGGGUCAGGCCUUAACCGGAGCAGCCCUAAGCGGUGUACCUCUGUGCGAGGGUCUCUUUCCGUCC
rnacentral:SRP_RNA from 1 species